rnacentral:lncRNA from 1 species
AUGUCAGUGGCAGCGUCUGUGGGAGACUCUGCCUCUAUACUGCCUUCUCUGUGGAAAAGGCAAGUGGCUAUGUCUGAGGCUAUCAGAGCGCUUCAAACUUGGGCUCCUCACACGAAGGGCUUGAGGCUGGCCCCGGUGCCAGGACUUUCAUGUGCCAGGUUGGGGAUCCUGUUGUUCUUGGUACUGAUUUCUCUGCCAAGCCUGUACGGUGACCUGGGCUCACUACAUCACUCUUCCUAUGAAAUAGUCAUUCCCAAGAGUCUGACAGUGGAAGGAAGGGAAGACCAAGUGGAAAAGCUCUCCUACGUGCUAUUUAUGCAGGGCCAGAGGCAGCUGAUUCACCUGACGGUGAAGAGAGACUAUUUUGUGGAUAACUUCCCGGUCUUCAGCUACCACAAUGGCAUCCUGGGGCAAGAAAUGCCUCCCGUCUCACAGGACUGUCACUAUGAAGGCUACAUAGAAGGAGUCCCAGGUUCUUUUGUUUCUGUCAACACCUGUUCAGGCCUCAGGGGCCUCCUGAUUAAGGAGGAAAAAUCCUAUGGCGUUGAGCCCGUGCACUCUUCCAAACGGUUUGAACACGUGUUGUACGCCAUGGCCCACGAAGCUCGCGUCUCCUGUGGCGUCACGUCCAAAGACAGCCAAGUGGCGUCCACCAGCCGGCGACCGGAGAGCGGCAAGCCUCACAGCUGGCAGGUGCCAUCCGACUUGUGGUCACAUAUCAAGUACGUGGAGAUGGUUGUCGUGGUCAACAACCAGCGGUUCCAAAUGUGGGGCAGUGACGUCAAGCAGACAGUCCAGAGAGUAAUGGACAUCAUCGCUCUGGCCAACAGCUUCACAAGGGGAAUAAACAUAGAGGUGGUGCUGGCUGGAAUGGAGAUUUGGACUGAGGGGGACCUCACAGAGGUCCCCGUGGACCUGCAAGUUGCACUCAGGAAUUUCAACAGCUGGAGACAAGAGAACCUCUUCCAUCGUGUCAAGCAUGAUGUUGCCCACAUGAUCGUGGGACAGCAUCCUAAGGAGGAUACGGGGCAGGCAUUUCUCAGCGGUGCCUGCUCCAGUGAUUUUGCAGCAGCCGUGGAAUCUUUCCACCACGAGGAUGUCCUCCUGUUUGCAGCACUCAUGGUCCACGAGCUUGGACACAACUUGGGUAUUCGGCACGACCAUUCGGCCUGCAUUUGUAAAGACAGGCCCUUCUGCCUCAUGCAUGAAAACAUCACUAAAGGAAGUGGCUUCAGCAACUGCAGCUCUGACUUCUUCCACCAGUUCCUCUGGGAACACAAGGGGGCCUGCCUGUUUAACAAGCCUGGGCACAAAGGCCGCUUACGGAGGGCUUCCCGCUGUGGCGACGGCAUUGUAGAAGGACCUGAGCAGUGUGACUGUGGGUCUAAGUGUGAAAUGCACCCAUGCUGUGACACCAGAUGUAUGCUGAGAGAGCAUGCAGAAUGUAGUGAUGGACUCUGCUGUGAUAAAUGUCGCCUGAGAUUCAAGGGAUUCAUGUGCCGUGCUGCUUUGGGAGAGUGUGACCUCCCAGAGUAUUGUAAUGGUUUCUCGGGAGAAUGUCCCAGAGACAGCUAUAAGCUAGAUGGCACAGUGUGUGACAGAAUUCACUACUGUGCUGGAGGUCGGUGUAAGAACCCUGACAAUCAAUGCAUGGAUAUCUACGGGUCCCCUGCAAGGUCCGCCCCAGAAAACUGUUACGUUUCAAUGAACACAAGAGGGGACCGGUUUGGAAACUGUGGUACCAGCAGCUCACCGAGGUUAACAUAUCUGAAGUGUGCAGGUGAUAACAUAUUUUGUGGGAAACUUAUAUGUACAAAUGUUAGAGAGGUGCCACAAAUCAAACCCAAUCAUACACUGAUCCAGGUCGCUCACAACGAUGGCUGGUGCUGGAGCAUGGAUGCCUAUGACACUGCUGAUAUCCCUGAUGAUGGAGAUGCACACACUGGCACUCUCUGUGCCCCACACAAAGUCUGCAUGAAUCACUUGUGUACUGAUCACACCUCACUUGGGUACAGCUGUGAGACAACAGAAUUGUGUAACGGGAAAGGAGUUUGCAACAAUUUUAGGCACUGCCAUUGUGAGGAAGGCUAUGCGCCCCCUGACUGCAAAGAUCCAGGAGACGGUGGUAGUGUGGACAGUGGUCCUCCUAGCACAUCAAUUCAACUUUCAAGUGAAGGGCAAAGUCAAAAACCUAAGAAACGUAGUGAUGACAUUCCAGGUCUUGGCAGCCUUCUUUUCAUACUCCCUUCCAUACUUUUAGUAUUUUUGAUAAUUGUUAUGUUAUUUAUUAGCCUCAGGACUGGAAUUGAGUCAGUACCGACCCCAGGGGUUUCCUCAGAGGAGAGUUCAGAGGAAAGCAGUAGUGAGGUAUUCAUAAUGGAGUUACUCCCAGUCAUGAUAGAAGAGGAGGAAGGAGAGGACCCCCCAUCAGGGCUGGGCCCCCUACCAGAGCAGGGCCUCUCACCAGAGGCACCGCCGCCUGAGGGACCUCCUCCGGAUGCCCCUCGGGAGGAGGCCCCCCUACCAACAGGACCUCUACCAGAGAAACCCCCACAGGAGGCACCCCCACAGGAAGCACCCCCAGAGGCGGCGCCCCCACCGGAGGCACCCCCAGCGGCGGCGCCCCCACCGGAGGCACCCCCACCAGCGGCGCCCCCACCGGAGGCACCCCCAGCGGCGGCGCCCCCACCGGAGGCACCCCCAGCGGCGGCGCCCCCACCGGAGGCACCCCCACCGGCGGCGCCCCCACCGGAGGCACCCCCACCGGCGGCGCCCCCACCGGAGGCACCCCCACCGGCGGCGCCCCCACCGGAGGCACCCCCACCGGCGGCGCCCCCACCGGAGGCACCCCCACCGGCGGCGCCCCCACCGGAGGCACCCCCACCGGUGGCGCCCCCACCGGAGGCCCCACCACCAGGACAGCCAGCAUCAUAA